AACGUAGGUGGCGAGCGUUAUCCGGAAUUACUGGGCGUAAAGCGUGCGCAGGCGGUGAUGUAAGACAGAUGUGAAAUCCCCGGGCUCAACCUGGGAACUGCAUUUGUGACUGCAUCGCUGGAGUGCGGCAGAGGGGGAUGGAAUUCCGCGUGUAGCAGUGAAAUGCGUAGAUAUGCGGAGGAACACCGAUGGCGAAGGCAAUCCCCUGGGCCUGCACUGACGCUCAUGCACGAAAGCGUGGGGAGCAAACAGG
rnacentral:rRNA from 1 species